rnacentral:rRNA from 1 species
UACAGAGGGGGCAAGCGUUGUUCGGAAUUACUGGGCGUAAAGGGCGCGUAGGCGGCCUUCUAAGUCAGACGUGAAAUCCCCGGGCUCAACCCGGGAACUGCGUCUGAUACUGGAGGCUUGAAUCCGGGAGAGGGAUGUGGAAUUCCAGGUGUAGCGGUGAAAUGCGUAGAUAUCUGGAGGAACACCGGUGGCGAAGGCGGCAUCCUGGACCGGCAUUGACGCUGAGGCGCGAAAGCCAGGGGAGCAAACGGGG